AUGCGACUCAGUGGGGCACAAUGCCGAAUUAUGCUGAUGCUUAAUUGGAACAUGAAUUAGUUUUCAAAUGCACCAGCAAGUUGCGCUAAGUUCAGUGUUGAAAAAAAAAAUAUUCAUAGAGUUAGCAAUAACCACAAAUAACCUCUUUUAUUAAUGUGUAAUUAUAGUGGUAGGUAUACUUAAUAAUUGGUGGAAAACAAUUUACGGUUAUUUUAAGUAAUUUGGAUUUUGAUUAUUUCAUUAACAUUUUUUUCAAUGUUUCCGUGGGACGUCCACUGCUGGACAAAGGCCUCCCUCAAGGAUUUCCAAUACGACCGGUCACCGGCGGCCUGCAUCCAGCGUCUCCCUGCCACUCGGACCAGGUCGUCUGUCCAUCUUGUGGGAGGUCGUCCCACGCACGCAUCAAUUCACGCGCAUUACUCGUGAUUAUGAGUGCUCGAUUGUGCGAAGCGUUGCUGUAGUUGGAACAUUCCAUAAUGCGCUCUAGUGCUGUAAUUGGAAACACGGUACACAUACCUACUAGAGUCUAGAGUUAGCUCUGCUAUAUUACUUGCUCUGUGGUUAGCAUCACCACUAAAGUCCGAUGGCGAUAGACAAGGCGCUGUAUGUGACGCUGGCUGGCAAGCAUAAACUUACUCAUUAUCUGACUUUACUUUUAGUCAAGUAAUCUGUGGUCAAGUAAUAGUGGUAAUAGUAAACCUGAUAUAUAGCCCUGGUUUUGUUUCGUGGUAAAAUAAAACAAUUUUUAAAACUUUGUGGACUUAUUUUCAAAUUCUGCUGUAUGAGUCUAGUCCUGCAGGUGGUGCAGAAUUUAUGUGAUAGAAGAACAGAAAUGUCCUUAACUCUUACACAUGAUUUAAAUUAUGUAGGUCAUAAAUGUAUUUGUUAGGUACCAAUGAACUUCCUUCCAAAAUAAAUCUAAUUGAUAUAUUUAUUA